UUAAACUUUAAGUCUUAAAGUCUUAAAGUUAAAAUGAACCUUUAAAUUUUUUUCUGGAUUUAUCAAAGGUUUAUAUAAAGUUGUCUUUAAUAUUUUCAGCACUAUCCAGUUCUGUUUGUUCUGGAAUCUUCCACAAGAGUGGGUUCUUAAGGAACAAUCCAAGAUAGAACAUCUGACAGAAUAUGUAGACUGCCUCGAAAGCCAAAAUACUACAAUUAGAACAUGCUGGACUGUGAGACGUCCCCCAAUGAGACAGUGUUGAGUUGUUUGGUACUCACAUUACAUUGGCGGUGUUGCAUGUGGUCAGAUUAGCCAGGGCAAGGGCCGCAGCUUCCCUGACUUCUUCACUGUCACUCUUGAGCAACUGAAUUAACUGUGGAAUCCCUGUAGAAACAGAAAGGGAAGAUGUGGUUCUGUAAACAUCCAGGAUAAAGAACUCUACACAAAUACAAAAAGAACAUAGAUUAUAUACAAAAGAAUGGAAAUCAGACUGUCAUUAGACUCAGACACUACAAAAACAAGAUUUAUGCCAACAUAGCUUGCCACUGAAAUGAAAAUUGUAUUAUGUAUAUAGUAUGAGCAUAUUAUUUUUCACAGCUAUAUCACAUGGCACUGCUAGUCUCCAGCUGAAGUUGAGAUUACUGUGUAGAUAUCAUGCCAAAUGUGGAUAUAUUGAAACAAUGUUUUCAGGAUCACAAACAAUGGAUGGAUUCUGUAAAAUUUCAAAAUCAAGAGAAAUAAAGGCUUGAAAAACUUAAUUUAGGAAUGAGAUAGCUUUUUUUAAAAAAAAUUCAUGUUUAAAUCAUACUGAGUUUAUUAAAUCCCUGACAAAGUAAUCUCUACUUUUACUCAUUGGCAUUGGGAUAAAUUUUGGCCCUAAAUAGUAAAUACGGCACUAUUCUCAGAUGACCAGUUAAAAGCAGACAAAUACUCUAAUGUUUGUUAGUACUAAUCAAAAUCAAGAAUAAAAGAGGAAGUAUGUGUGCUUAGUUUAUAUAAAAUCAGACAUACGAUCAU